rnacentral:tRNA from 1 species
GGGAAUGUGGCUCAGUGGUAGAGUGCUUGCCUAACAAGCAUGAAGUGCUGAGUUUGAUUCCUCAGUACCA